rnacentral:lncRNA from 1 species
GCAAUACUUUAUUCAUUAUUUAUAAUAACUCAAUAUUUUUAGAUUAUUUAAUAUUUACAAAUAAGCUUUACAUCUGUUGUAAUGGUCUUCACACACAGAUUAAAAGACAAUUGGGUAACAAAUCUACACAUUUUACAGGAGAAAAAGAUGAAAGUCAAAGAUGUUCCCAGGUUACACAGCUGAAAGUGAGGAAGUUGGUGGUUUCCUGACUCAAGAGAGUGGAGAAGACUGAACCCAAUGAGGCACUGAAAUGAAUUGGCUGCAACUUCUAGAUGGGAUCAUGCAUUUCUGAUUUUGAAGACCCUUAACCGAGACCUGCUUCUCUGUUUGCCAAAAAUAGUCAAAUAUCAGCAAUUUUCUUUGGUUCCACCUAACCGAAGAAGCAUUCGAGUUACAUGUGGUAAAUGCAUGAGCUGGAAAGGAGGAAGAGGGAGAAAACAAAGGCCAAGAUAUCAAUCAAAGGGAAUUAUAAUCAUCAGUGAGAAAUAAUAAAGGCCCAGAUAAGGCUGAUGCUAC